AAUGAAGAGAGUAGUAAGUGCAUCUUUGUAUGAGCCAUGAUUAACGUAUAUUUUGAUGGGUCUUGAGGCUCAUUUCAGAAUACACUUAAAACUUUUUUCUGCAGCAGUUUCGCGCUCAAACCAUUGUCUUCGGUCGGAACAUGCUGAAACCUGCAGGCUAGCUAAUGUCGGUUUUUUCUUCUCGGUCGUCGUGAGAACGGUUUGAUAGAUCGGAUUAUUAUUAAGUAUUACCGUUUCCUGUAGUGAAGUGUGAUUCGUUGCUACUUUUAUCCUGAUCGUCUUUGCUGUUAAUUGUAUAAGUAGUCGGUUACUCGGUUGUCGUGAGAUUGAACUAUUAUAAUUACUUAUCAUCGUGUUCUUCGGCCGCUCGCCAGUACCUUUGUGAUUGUGAUCUAAAGUUACCUCAAGUGAAGUGUGAGUCGUUAAGUAAUACUUUUAUCCUGGUCGUCUUUGCUGUUAAAUCUGUUGUUUAUGGAAAAACAUUCUUGCCAACAUUCAUGCUUGUUGCAAAGUUGUGUUUGUCUCCAUUGGAAUGCAUGUGACCUUUUUAUUCGAAUGGUUUGAACUUUGAAUCUACAGUCAUGUCGGAUGUUUCUAGUGAUGAGAAGAACCUGUUGUGGUCGGUUGUCAGUUUCGUAGAGGAUAUCGGGGAUUCAUAUGAUGCCAUUCCAAACGUUUGGCUGAAGAAAUCCCAGCCUAACCUAACCUAUUACCCCCCGGAAAGCACACCGGUAAACCGACUAAAAAGUUGGGCCAAAGAAGGCAAAAAACCGGAUAAAAAGACCUGGGAUCUGCUUAAAAUUAAAAUAAUCUUAGCGGAUUAUGAUGAUUAUGAAGUGGCUGUAGAGAAUGCCGUCAGGCUGACUUCUGGCAGGCCCUCCAAGGAGGCAAGCUCUGCAGAGCGGGAGGGGAAAAAAAGAUCAACUGUGAGGAAAGACUUCAGUGAUUUUCUUACCGAAUCCUGCAGCAAAAGUGAAGGCCACAGGGAUGCGUCCUCCAAAUCUACCAAAAAAAAGUCUACAACGAGCAAAUCUGGCAACUUUGGAGGUUCAAUUCCGACUCCACCAACUGGCAGGAGUCAUCCCUCUAAGAGCCAGACCCCUAAAGAUGGAAAAGGCGAUUCUCUUUGCUCGUGCAAAGACUAUCACGUAUGCUUCAGCGAAGAACCUAUAACUCUAGAGUCGAUCGCAAUAAAUAUGUGUAAAUUAUCGCGUUCGAUUGCAAUCAAAAAUAGCUCAGACAGGACAAAAUUCUUGUCUAUUGAAAGCCAUUUCGAAGAAUUGAAUGAAAAAUUCAAGUCCGUACAACUUGCCCAGACAAGUCAAGUUGAAAUUAAUAAGGAAAUACCUCGAAGCAGUGUUCCUGAGACAACUGCUACCACUGUGAAAGCUGACCCGCCCAUCAAGGAAACAGACCUCAUAUUACAGAAAUUUCCAGUUUCUGAUAUUGCAGAAUUUCACAAUUUAGAUGUGCAAUUGAAAAAUGAAGCGCUCCGCUCUGCAGUGGCUGGACAAAUGGCAAAUCUAGUCGACGUUAACGAGACAAGUAAAACUAUCACAGCUCGAAACAUUGUCAAGUAUAUGCUGUCCGCGGACAUCUUAACUCUGAUUUCAUGGAAAGGCCAAACAAGGGGCGGCAUCAGUAAAGUUAGUUUCUUCAACACCAACUUACGAAAGCUUCUGAUCGAUUGCCUGUUGAACAUUUACCGUUUGACCGAGGGCAAAACAAUGGCGAGUGCGGAUUGGUUUGGGGCUUCCAAUCAUAAAAAAAUGUGCUGCAGCGUUUCCUCAUCUGUGAGUCAGGCCUUCUCCCAGAUCUCUAGGAAAGAUGAGGAGAAGUCAAAGAAAUCUUCCCGGUAAAUUUCUUCAUAAACUAAUUUUUUUCGCUUUUUUUUCUCAUGUUCAAAGGUUGUUGGACAAUAAGUUUCCUAAUUUCUCAAGAACUGUGGAAACCAGUAAAAUCUAAACGGAUCUGCUAAACACUUACCCUUUUCCCCUUUUCCCUUCAAUAAUUUAUUUAAAUUUAACCAGUAGUAGAAAUAUAAUAUUCUCCAUUUUUUCUUAAUUUCCCCUCAUUGAAGUUUGUUUCAUUUUAUACUUUCCUUCCUAAAAAUAUGAUAUGAUUUUCAUUUCAGGAAAUCUAAAUCAAGAAGAAGGGCCAGCUCAAGCAGUAUGUCAUCGUCGUCUGCAAUUUCUCAAGACUCUAGCAGUUCACCCUCACAGUCAAGUCGGAAAAGGAAGCACAGAAGCAACAGUAAAAAGUAUCACUCAAAAAAAAGACCAUCUAGAAGCUUUAACAGAUCUCAUUCCCAAAGCGAAUCAACGUCAAGCGAAUCCCCAAGCGUCGUCACAGAUUUGGAGACCAUUUCAACACAGCAGCCUGUUUUGGAGAAUCCUUAAGGGAAGUCAGACAUGUCAGUCAGUCACAAUUUUUGACACACAUUUUUAUUUUUCAAAUUUUGAGGAUUUAAAGUCGAUAUUUUUGGGAAAAAAUAUUGUACUCAUUGUAAGUACUCAUAGUGAGUAUUUUUGGACUUUGUGAUUCAUGGACCUAUCUAAGCUACUUGAAUCAAGUUAUUGUUUUCUUUUUUUUUAUAUUCGUACAGUUUUUAUUCUUGUGAUAAUGAAGCAAAAUUAGAAAUUGCCCUCCAUCAACUUAACGGAGUGAUCUAAUUUUGAAUUUUGCAAUUGAUUGAUCUCCGAGAUUUUAAUCUAAGGCGAUCUCUCAGUCCAAAUUUUUGGGUACUUAAUUUUUUCUAGUUAUUAUUAUUUAGUUCAUAUGGUUGUUUCCUGCCUUUGUGAUUCAUAAGUUAGUUGAAUCAAGUUAUUUUUUCUUCGAUAUUUUUUUCUUUCUUUUUUAUAUUCGUACAGUUUUUAUUCUUGUGAUAAUGAAGCAAAAUUAGAAAUUGUCCUCCAUCAACUUAACAGAGUGAUCUAAUUUUGAAUUUUGCAAUUGAUUGAUCUCCGAGAUUUUAAUCUAAGGCGAUCUCUCAGCCCAAAUUUUUUGGUACUUAAUUUUUUCUAGUUAUUAUUUAGUUCAUUUGGUUGUUUCCUGCCUUUGUGAUUCAUAGAUCUAAGUUACUUGAAUCAAAUUAUUUUUUCUUCGAUAUUCGUACAAAUUUUAUUCAUAAUCAAAAUAUUUCUUUGGGUACCUAGGUAAUGAGGCAAAAUUAGAAAUUGUCCUCCAUCAACUUUACGAAGUGAUCUAAUUUUGAAUUUUGCAAUUGAUUGAUCUCCGAGAUUUUAAUCUAAGGCGAUCUCUCAGCCCAAAUUUUUUGGUAUCUAAUUUUUUCUAGUUAUUAUUAUUUAGUUCAUUUGGUUGUUUCCUGCCUUUGUGAUUCAUAGAUCUAAGUUACUUAAAUCAAGUUAUUUUUUCUUCGAUAUUCAUACAAAUUUUAUUCAUAGUCAAAAUAUUUCUUUUGGUACCUAGGUAAUUAAUGAGGCAAAAUUAGAAAUUGUCCUCCAUCAACUUUACGAAGUGAUCUAAUUUUGAAUUUUGCAAUUGAUUGAUCUCCGAGAUUUUAAUCUAAGGCGAUCUCUCUGUCCAAUUCUUUUGGUAUCUAAUUUUUUCUAGUUAUUAUUAUUUAGUUCAUUUGGUUGUUUCCUGCCUUCUUCGAUAUUCGUACAAAUUUUAUUCAUAGUCAAAAUAUUUCUUUUGGUACCUAGGUAAUUAAUGAGGCAAAAUUAGAAAUUGUCCUCCAUCAACUUUACGAAGUGAUCUAAUUUUGAAUUUUGCAAUUGAUUGAUCUCCGAGAUUUUAAUCUAAGGCGAUCUCUCUGUCCAAUUCUUUUGGUAUCUAAUUUUUUCUAGUUAUUAUUAUCUAGUUCAUUCGGUUGUUUCCUGCCUUUUUAAUUUGUAGAUUAUAACUUUUUUAAUCAAUUGACUUUUGUUUGUUUUGUCAAUAAAUAUUUUUAUCCUGUUACUAUAUUUCUUGGUGAGCAAAACUUCAUUCAAAAGAGGGUCAAGAAGUGGCCCCUUCCAAAUGACAACUAUUCAUUUGUGAUUUUCAAUUGUUCUUUUCUUGCUCUCAUUUGUUUUUUUUUAUUGUUUAAUUGUUCCAUGUUCAUGUUCAUAUUUCAAUAUAGUUAUUUUUGUCAGUCUAUGUCAUAUUGUAUUCCUUUGCAUUGGUUUCAACCGUUCUUAUAGAAGACAUGUUUUUAUGUAUCUAAUUAGUAAUGAAACAAAAAUAAUAGAAUAUUGAAGG
rnacentral:lncRNA from 1 species